GGAGAGGUCACUUCCUUUGGUCAGUAAGGGAGCGGCUUUCAGGACUCACCCCCAAGCAAUGAUGUUUGGGGGGACCCUCUCAGGGCCUAUAAGGAUCUGGGUCUCCUCCUCUCCGUCAUUAUUCUAUUUUGCCAGCAGUGCCCAGAACUCGGUUCUGCUUCAAGCCGCAGAGUGGAGGAGAAGGCACCGAGGCUUGGAGAUGCUGUUUCAUAGAGUCUUGGCUUUGCAGCACAUUACGGGGCAGCGGAAAGCCCCCUUAAACUCCAGCAGAAGCCAAGCAGUCACCGGUGGGCCAGCGACCGACAUGAAGGAGGGACCGGACAGAUGGCCAGGGGGAAGGAGCCAUCGGGGGCGUUGGGAGGCCCGGGAGGAACUGGACAGAGCCAGGUCUCACCGGGGACAGAAUGCGGCCUCACAAUCCUGCCCCACCGCCAAGAUUCUCAGGUUCUGAGCCUGGAGUCCGACUGCUAGCCAGCGACUCAUGGCGCCCACAGCCAGAUGAGAAUGCAGCCUCUCCCUCCAACACCUUGAAUGUAACCCCAAGAGACCCUGAGCAGAAGACACAGCCAAGCAGUGCCCAGACUUCGCCAAUGGAAACUGUGGAAGAAUAAAUGUGUGCUGUUGGGAGCUGAUAAAUUUGUGACCAUUUGUUGUGCAGUGUCUUAGUUUCUUUGGGAUGUUAUAACAAAAUAUCUUAGACUGGGUAAUUUAUAAAUGACAGAAAUUUAUUUCUCAUGGUUCUAGAGACUGGGGAGUCCAAUAUAAAGUCCCCAGCAGAUUCAGUGCUUGGUCAGGGCUCACUCUUGCUUCAUAGUUGCCCACUUGCUGUGCCACCAUGUGGCAGAUGGAGUGAACAGCUGCCUCAAACCUUUUUUUUUAAAGUUAUUAUUAUUAUUAUUAUUUUUUAUUUUUUAUUUUUUGAGACAGUCUUGCUGUGUCGCCCAGACUGGAGUGCAAUGGUGUGAUUUUGGCUCACUGCAACCUCCUGCAGCCUCCGUCUCCAGGGUUCAAGCAAUCCUCCUGCCUCAGCCUCCCGAGUAGCUGGGAUUACAGGCAUGUGCCAUCAUGUCUGGCUGAUUUUUCUAUUUUUAGUAGAGACGGGGUUUCACCAUGUUGGCCAGGCUGGUCUCGAACUCCUCACCUUACGUGAUCUGCCCGCCUCAGCCUCCCAAAGUGCUGGGAUUACAGGCAUGAGCCACUGUGCCCGGCCUAUGUUUUUCUUUUUUUUUUUUUGAGACAGAGUCUCACUCUGUUGCCCAGGAUGGAGUGCAGUGGUGUGAUCUUGGCUCACUGCAAGCUCCGCCUCCCAGGUUCACGCCAUUCUCCUGCCUCAGCCUCCCGAGUAGCUGGGACUAUAGGCGCCCGCCACCACGCCUGGCUAAUUUUUUGUAUUUUUAGUAGAGAUGGGGUUUCACCGUGUUAGCCAGGACAGUCUCGAUCUCCUGACCUUGUGAUCCGCCCAUCUCAGCCUCCCAUAGUGCUGGGAUUACAGGCGUGAGCCACCACACCUGGCCGUUUUUCUUAAUUUGACAUCCUGUAGAUCAAUAGGCAUAUUUUAUCUUUGGCUGCUUGUGGAAGCCUUUUCAUACCACAAUCAAAUUCUCCUUCUUGUUUCUCUGAAUCACUUCCACCGUCUGCCCCCAUCUCUGACCUUUCACGGGUGCUUACUGAACACUUACAGUACCUAAAGAUCUAUGCCUGGCAGUGAAGGAGCUGGUCAAACUGUGCAUUAAGAAAUCCACAUUCCUGGCCAGAGAGAGCCUUGAGCGGGAGGCCUGUAGGGACACAACACCAUUUACCCACCAUGGGACAUGGAUAUGGCCCCUGGUGACUUGUUUAAAGAAAGACAGAAGGAACAGGAGGAAUUCAUGUCAUCCCAGGCAUCCAUCCCAGCCCUGCUGCUGAGCUGAUGAGCUCGAAGGGACAAUGACUGGGUUUUUGACAGUUCAGUACGUGAAAGAAUUCAAAUUUACAGCUGUUGGAAUUUUAAAUUAUUCUGACCCUUGAGAGGAAUGUGGCUAGGUGGCUU
rnacentral:lncRNA from 10 species